rnacentral:rRNA from 1 species
UACGGAGGAUCCAAGCGUUAUCCGGAUUUAUUGGGGUUUAAAGGGUGCGUAGGCGGCUUUUUAAGUCAGGGGUGAAAGACGGUGGCUCAACCAUCGCAGUGCCCUUGAUACUGAAGAGCUUGAAUGGACUAGAGGUAGGCGGAAUGUGACAAGUAGCGGUGAAAUGCAUAGAUAUGUCACAGAACACCGAUUGCGAAGGCAGCUUACUAUGGUUUAAUUGACGCUGAGGCACGAAAGCGUGGGGAUCAAACAGG